rnacentral:rRNA from 1 species
AUUGAACGCUGGCGGCAGGCCUAACACAUGCAAGUCGAGCGGAUGAAGGGAGCUUGCUCCUGGAUUCAGCGGCGGACGGGUGAGUAAUGCCUAGGAAUCUGCUUGGUAGUAGGGGAUAACGUCCGGAAACGGGCGCUAAUACCGCAUACGUCCUGAGGGAGAAAGUGGGGGAUCUUCGGACCUCACGCUAUCAGAUGAGCCUAGGUCGGAGUAGCUAGGUGGUGGGGUAAAGGCCUACCAAGGCGGCGAUCCGUAACUGGUCGGAGAGGAUGAUCAGUCACCCUGGAGCGGGGACACCGACCCGACGCCUACGGGACGCAGCAGUCGGGAAUAUUGGGCAGUGGGCGAGAGCCUGAUACAGCGAUGCCGCGUGUGUGAAGAAGGUCUUCGGAUUGUAAAGCCCUUUAAGUUGGGAGGAAGGGCAGUCAGUUAAUACCUUGCUGUUUUGACGUUACCAACAGAAGAAGCACCGGCUAACUUCGUG